GUCUACGGCCAUGCUAUCCUAAACAAGCCCGAUUCCAUCUGAUCUCAGAAGCUAAGCAGGGUUGAGCCUGGUUAGUACUUGGAUGGGAGACCACCUAGGAAGACCAGGUGCUGUAGGUG
rnacentral:rRNA from 1 species